rnacentral:rRNA from 1 species
AUACGAAGGGGGCUAGCGUUGUUCGGAAUCACUGGGCGUAAAGCGCGCGUAGGUGGAUCAAUUAGUUGAGGGUGAAAUCCCGGGGCUCAACCUCGGAACUGCCUUCAAUACUGUUGAUCUUGAGACCGAGAGAGGUGAGUGGAAUUCCUAGUGUAGAGGUGAAAUUCGUAGAUAUUAGGAAGAACACCAGUGGCGAAGGCGGCUCACUGGCUCGGUACUGACGCUGAGGUGCGAAAGCGUGGGGAGCAAACAGGAUUAGAAACCCCAGUAGUCC